rnacentral:rRNA from 1 species
CCUACGGGAGGCAGCAGUGGGGAAUAUUGCACAAUGGGGGAAACCCUGAUGCAGCGACGCCGCGUGAGUGAAGAAGUAGUUCGGUAUGUAACGCUCUAUCAGCAGGGAAGAAAUAGCGACCUUUGGGUCGCCAGACGGUACUUGAUUAAGAAGCCCCGUCUAACUACUUGCCAGCAGCCGCGGUAAUACUUAGGGGGCAAGCGUUAUCAGGAUUUACUGGGUGGGAAGGGGGCGUAGACGGCAGCGCAAAUCUGAAGUGAAAUGCCGGGGCUUAACCCCGGAAGUGCUUUGGAAAAUGUGGAGCUAGAGUGCAGGAGAAGUAAGUGGAAUUCGUAGUGUAGCGGUGAAAUGCUUAGAGAUCAGGAGGAACAUCGGUGGCGUAAGCGCUUUACUGGGGCGUAAUUGACGCUGAGGAACGAAAGCGAGGGUAGCAAAUGGGAUUAGAUACCCGUGUAGUC